GGUCACAAUGUCUAACAAAUAUGAAAAUGUAUGUACUCAUCUUGGUCCUCACUCAACCCAUCGGACUUCCCCAAUUUGUCUGGGUAAAACAGAGAACUGACACCUGGGAAAUCCCUGCAAAAUAGUGGAAGUGAAAGAUGGUGGGAGGGCAUGGAAGAGCAAAGUACAGCGUCAAACUCGACAGUCUCAGCCCAGGGAGGCUCGGUGGCCGCAAACAGCGCCUGCCUCCGGGUCUGCAGCAGCAGUCAUAGCAGCAGCAGAAGCAGCAGCAGCGGGAUCCGAAAGUCCGGCGGGGCUGAGGGCCCAGAAAGAAGAAGAAGGUCCUGGCUGCUCAGCUACUUGGUGGCCCCCAUCCUGGCAAGCCGAUGA
rnacentral:lncRNA from 1 species